rnacentral:rRNA from 1 species
AUGCUAGCCCAAGGCAUUAUUCAGCCAAGUGUGAGUCCUUUUGCCUCUCUGGUCAUGUUAGUUCAUAAAAAAGAUCUCACUUGGCGCUUCUGUGUGGAUUAUCGACACCUCAACGCGAUCACAGUCAAGAACUGUUAUCCUCUUCCGGUUAUUGAUGAGUUGCUUGACGAGCUAGCAGGAGCUCGGGUGUUCACCAGUUUGGACUUGCGGGCAAGUUACCACCAAAUUCGGAUGCGACCUGAGGACAAGCACAAAACGGCGUUCAAAACACACAGCGGACACUUCGAGUUCAGAGUCCUGCCGUAUGGUGUUACCGGUGGUCCACCAACCUUUCAAGGGGGCAUG